rnacentral:rRNA from 1 species
UUAUCGUUUAUUUGAUAGUACCUUACUACUUGGAUACCCGUGGUAAUUCUAGAGCUAAUACAUGCAAAAAACCCCGACUUUUGGAGGGGUGUAUUUAUUAGAUAAAAAACCAAUGCCCUUCGGGGCUCCUUGGUGAUUCAUAAUAACUUAACGGAUCGCAUGGCCUUGCGCCGGCGACGGUUCAUUCAAAUUUCUGCCCUAUCAACUUUCGAUGGUAAGGUAUUGGCUUACCAUGGUUUCAACGGGUAACGGAUUUUUAGGGAAAGAUCCCGGAGAGGCAGCCUGAGAAACGGCUACCACAUCCAAGGAAGGCAGCAGGCGCGCAAAUUACCCAAUCCUGAUACAGGGAGGUAGUGACAAUAAAUACUGAUACAGGGCUCUUUUGGGUCUUGUAAUCGGAAUGAGUACAAUUUAAAUACCUUAACGAGGAACAAUUGGAGGGCAAGUCUGGUGGACAUUCAGCUCCCAUCUGCUGACGCCAGAGAUAGCCAGGCGCCUCCGGGCGUUAUGCUGGCUAGUCGAGCACCCACCGAACUGAUGGGGGGGUGCCGGCGAGACAACCUGGAUCGGGGGAGGCUAAGGCCGCGAGGCUAUGCUAAUCCCGAGCAGAGCUGCCGCAGGGCGACCUGCGGACAGCCUGUGUAGAGCGCGGAAAGGUGUCGGUCGACUCCCCGAGUCGGCUUGAGGGACGUGCCAUUCCCGCCCGAAAGGGCGGCUGCCAGUGUGAGUGCCCAUCACACGAGCACUGGCGG